rnacentral:rRNA from 1 species
UACGAAGGGGGCUAGCGUUGUUCGGAAUUACUGGGCGUAAAGCGCGUGUAGGCGGGUCUUUAAGUCAGGGGUGAAAUGCCAAGGCUCAACCUUGGAACUGCCUUUGAUACUGGAGACCUUGAGUCCGGGAGAGGUGAGUGGAACUGCGAGUGUAGAGGUGAAAUUCGUAGAUAUUCGCAAGAACACCAGUGGCGAAGGCGGCUCACUGGCCCGAUACUGACGCUGAGGCACGAAAGCGUGGGGAGCAAACAGG